GGCGAUACGUUUAUUCCACAAGAAUUGCUACCAGUGGCCAUAAAAUUGAGAGCAAAAGUGAACAAACCGGGAGGUGGCAAAGGAUUUGUUAGUUCAUCGAAAAGUCCUGAACAAUUAGCGGAUAAGUUGUUUGAAG